rnacentral:rRNA from 1 species
AUUGAACGCUGGCGGCAGGCCUAACACAUGCAAGUCGAGCGAGCGGCGGACGGGUGAGUAAUGUAUGGGGACUGCCCGAUAGAGGGGGAUAACUACUGGAAACGGUGGCUAAUACCGCAUACUAUCGGAUAACCCAUAUGGGAUUAGCUAGUAGGUGGGGUAAAGGCUCACCUAGGCGACGAUCUCUAGCUGGUCUGAGAGGAUAAUUAGCCACACUGGGGCCUGGAAACGGUCCAGAAUCCUACGGAAGCAGGAGUGGGGAAAAUUGCACAAUUGGGGCAAGCCUGAUGCAGCCAUGCCGCGGGUAUGAAAGAGGCCUUAGGGGUUUUAAGUAAUUUCCGCGGGGAGGCGUUGCCCGCAGAAGAAGCACCGGCUAACUCCGUGCCAGCAGCCGCGGUAAUUC